rnacentral:rRNA from 1 species
GAUUCUGGCUCAGGAUUAACGCUGGCGGCGUGCCUAAUACAUGCAAGUCGAAUGGUAGCAAUACCAUGGCGAACGGGUGAGUAACACGUAGGUAACCUGUCUUUAAGUCGAGGAUAACCAUUGGAAACGAUGGAUAAUACUGGAUAGGACAUUUGAAGGCAUCUUUAGAUGUUUAAAGAUUUAUCACUUAGAGAGGGGCCUGCGGCGCAUUAGCUAGUUGGUGAGGUGAAGGCUUACCAAGGCGAUGAUGCGUAGCCGGACUGAGAGGUUGAACGGCCACAAUGGAACUGAGAACGGUCCAUACUCCUACGGGAGGCAGCAGUAGGGAAUUUUCGGCAAUGGGCGGAAGCCUGACCGAGCAACGCCGCGUGAACGAAGAAGUAUUUCGGUAUGUAAAGUUCUUUUAUUAGGGACGAAAAGACAGAUUGACGGUACCUAAUGAAUAAGCUCCGGCUAACUACGUGCCAGCCGCUGC